CUCCCACAAGAUCCACAGCAUCAAACAAGUUGUCUCCUCCAUAAGUCCGGUCAUUCGAAGAGAAUUUCAAGACAAAAGUUUGGACAAAAAAGCCUAAUGCUCUCCAAUGGAUUUUCUUGUCCUGCCCUGACAUAAGCUUGGAGGAUGAAAUGCACUAUCUCAGUUCUCAUUAUAUUGGUGUUUGUGCAACGUCAAGAAUGUGGCAGAUUUUGCUUCAGUGCAGCCAAGGCUUAUAUGCAGACUAGUUACCAUAAAACGGAAAGAAAAAAGGGCUUGUUAGCACAUGACAAGAUCGUUAGAGAUUCAAUUUCUGGGGGCAUAAUCUUCCAUCCAGACUAACAAAUAAGGGGAGAAAACAACUCGUCUCGCAAGUGAAUGAGAGUUACAAUGCCUACGUACAUGAGAAACACUUAAAGCUAGGAAAAAAGAUGCAAGGUACUGCACGUCAUUCGCAAUAUGACCAAAUUGUGCAAGGAAACUGCAGCCACUCUCAAGAGCAUUGAUGAGGAACUCAGAGUCUCCUUCCAAGAUAACCCGGUCGACACCAAUUUCC